UGUUAUCACUGCCAUCCAGGGCAAAAAACGGGCGGACUACAGUAUGAUACCAGAGCAGCGCUAAUCUAAAGGAAGAGGGAGAGAAACCGCUACUGUCACUUUAUUGAGGACGCACUUAGGGAAAUGCAGCAUUCCAGGGGACAGCAACAGGAGUGUCCCAGGACUCACCCUACUCCAUGUCCCAAAUGCGGUGACCGAAACAUCUGAGCGCAGCCAGACUUCGACGGGAAGAACAGAGGCUGUGUGAGGACCGCGUGGAGAAGCUGCGCUCCAGGCCCACAGCACCGCGGCCCCAGUGAGAGGGACGCUUAGUCAGCUGAUGCCCAGCAACGUGGCCAGGAGCAGCCUCUGCCCAACAAGCGGAGAAAACAGUUGAACACAGGGCCCCUCAAUCUGCACAGGCUUUCAUAGGCUCCUCUGAAACAUCAGACAUAAAACUUUCAACCACCAUGACUGCGUCCCCGGAGGAAUGCACAGAGAGCAGAAAACCACAGACCGUCUGCCCUCCCCUGUCAGGGGCAGCCUCAACCAGCCAGAGAUGCAGGAGAGAUGGGAAAUCCUGUCCCCAUAACGGGGGUGGGAGUCCUCCCCUAGAAAGGGCAAGAGUUGUCAGGAAAAUUAAAAUAUCAAGUUACACUAAAUGGAUCCUGGAAUAAAUGUUGU